rnacentral:rRNA from 1 species
AGUGAACGCUGGCGGUAGGCUUAACACAUGCAAGUCGAACGGCAGCACAGUAAGUGCUUGCUCUUACGGGUGGCGAGUGGCGGACGGGUGAGGAAUAUAUCGUAAUCUACUUUUUCGUGGGGGAUAACGUAGGUAAACUUACUCCAAUACCGCAUACGACCUACGGUUGAAAGCAGGGGAUCUUCGGACCUUGCGCGAUUGAAUGAGCCGAUGUCGGAUUGGCUAGUUGGGGGGUGAAAGGCCCACCAAGGCGACGAUCCGUAGCUGGUGUGAGAGGAUGGUAGGCCGCACUAGAACUGGAACACGGUCCUGGCUCCUACGGGAGGCAGCAGUGGGGAAUAUUGGGCAAUGGGCGCAAACAUGGUCCAGCCAUAGCGCGUGGGUGGAAGAGACGUUCGGGUUGUAAAGACCUUUUGUUGGGAAAGAAAAGCAGCAGGUUAAGACCACGCUGUUGUGACGGUACCUAAAGAAUAAGCACCGGCUAACUACGUG